rnacentral:rRNA from 1 species
GGUCUGUCACUGACGCUGAGGCUNGAAAGCGUGGGUAGCGAACAGGAUUAGAUNCCCUGGUAGUCCACGCCGUAAACGAUGAGUGCUAGGUGUUAGGCCCUUUCCGGGGCUUAGUGCCGGAGCUAACGCAAUAAGCACUCCGCCUGGGGAGUACGACCGCAAGGUUGAAACUCAAAGGAAUUGACGGGGGCCCGCACAAGCGGUGGAGCAUGUGGUUUAAUUCGAAGCAACGCGAAGAACCUUACCAGGUCUUGACAUCCCGAUGCUAUUCUUAGAGAUAGGAAGUUANUUCGGUACAUCGGAGACAGGUGGUGCAUGGUUGUCGUCAGCUCGUGUCGUGAGAUGUUGGGUUAAGUCCCGCAACGAGCGCAACCCUUAUUGUUAGUUGCCAUCAUUAAGUUGGGCACUCUAGCGAGACUGCCGGUAAUAAACCGGAGGAAGGUGGGGAUGACGUCAAAUCAUCAUGCCCCUUAUGACCUGGGCUACACACGUGCUACAAUGGUCGGUACAACGAGUUGCGAGCCGGUGACGGCAAGCUAAUCUCUGAAAGCCGAUCUCAGUUCGGAUUGGAGGCUGCAACUCGCCUCCAUGAAGUCGGAAUCGNUAGUAAUCGCGGAUCAGCACGCCGCGGNGAAUACGUUCCCGGGCCUUGUACACACCGCCCGUCNC